CCGUAGCCCAAGAGAUCGGGAUAACACCUGGAAACAGAUGCUAAUACCGGAUAACAACAGAUGAUGCCUAUCAACUGUUUAAAAGAUGGUUCUGCUAUCACUCUUGGAUGGACCUGCGGUGCAUUAGCUAGUUGGUAGGGUAACGGCCUACCAAGGCGAUGAUGCAUAGCCGAGUUGAGAGACUGAUCGGCCACAUUGGGACUGAGACACGGCCCAAACUCCUACGAGAGGCAGCAGCC
rnacentral:rRNA from 1 species